CCCUUGGUGAGAAUGAGGAUGGCUAGAGGGCAGGAGAGAGGGGAGCCCACGCAGUGCAGAGCAGGCCCUGCGGGCCAGGAGCCCGCCUGAGUCUGACCUGGACUGGCCUGAGGCUAUUUGAAGUCUUUGUUAGCCCCCUUUCUGAGAGUAUGUGUUCAUUUCACAGUCAAAAUAUACACGUUUAUUAGGGAGAACUGCCCAGCCCCCACCGAGGGGUGUGUGACACAGGACUGAGUGCUCUCUUACCUCCCUGAAGAACCACAAAGUCUGACUCUGUGGCACUUCUCUGUCCCUAAGUUUCCAAUCGGGGACUCAGACCUCUACUACAUGUCCUGUAGCUGCCGGUGCCCUGCGUGGCUAUAGAUAUUUACAUGUGUGGGUGGGUGGAGGACAGUCAAAAAUUACAGACAAAGCUGCUCAAAAGGCCGCAGAACUUUACAAAACUUCGGAUAACUCGGUCCCUGUUCUACGGUUUCCCAAGUGUGUCUUCUACCGGACCUGAAGACUUGUGGCCGUACUUCUCUCCCUGUUCUUUUGUACUGUGGGUACACAUCAACAUCACUUUCUCCCCCAUGUCCUAAGGCCUCUCUAGAACCUUCUCUCUAAGCUAUAGGACUAAGUUAAUGAGAACAGAUUCACAGGCAUGACUUCAUCCUUCCAUCCAAAGUCCUCUGGACUCAGUGGGUUUCUCACUUCUGGGACACUGCAUCCUGUCACCUGCCAUCUCAGCAUCCCCAGGGACACACGUGAAGCUGACAGCUCCUUCAUGUACAUGAGCUCCCACCCUGGAGGCCGGUCACCGAGGGCCUUUGAGGACAAACUGGAGUUUCCAAAGGCCAGAGCUGCAAGCUUCACAGACACAGCUGCAGCCAGGCACCCAGGUGACCAGUUAUCUGCUGCUGCAGCUGGACCAGUUGGACUGUGGUGAUGGCAAAGCCAGGCUUGGCCUUUGCUCCACCACCUGGAGCUUUAGAGCCCACGGUCUCUUCAGAAAUCAGUGGCCGCUCUUCCAAGGACUGGGUUUCGAUGCUUCCCUCAGAGGAAAGAAACCUCCCAAGCUGGAGGGUGAUGCUCUUGAGGGCUCAGCUGCCUUAAGUGCCCAGAAACAGAAGAUUAUCAAAAGAAAACUGCUCUUCAACAAGUGGAGGAUAACAUGCAAUUUCCCCAGCCUUCAGCUGAGGGUACUGAGGUAAUCACAUCGGUGGCUCUUAGAUGCACUUAUGCCUCAUGGCUCUCUAGCUAAGAUUCUAGCUCAAUCUCCCGCUGUCUCUUCUCUUCCUCAUUUGUUCACUCCAACAGCUGAUGCGACCUCUGUCUGGCCUUCCCUCUGUUUUCCAUGGGAGCUGCCACCCUGCCAGGCCCUGCCAGCUCCAUCUCGUUUGCUCUCUGAACUCUGCUGUGUCCCUGCCGCUGCUGUCCUGAUAUUCCCUCUCUGCUUUCAUCUUAGCCACGGGCAAGCCUGAGCCCAUGGUCCUCCUCAUCACAAGAGCAUCAUUGAUGCCGCUGAACACAAGGCACUUUGCCUGAAAUCACACACUUUCUUCAUUUCUUUGCCUUCCCUUCCCAGCUUCCCCAACUCCACUGCCUCUUUCUUCUCAAUGAGUCACUCACACAUGGAUCUUCCUCCUGAGUCAUUUUGGGAAUCUGACCUAGGACAACCCUUAACCGUGGACCUCUCCAUGUGAAGAAGAAGAAGAAGUGUUAAAACUGAGGACAAAGAGCCCAGAUGACAAAAACCAAAUGAGAACCUGGGUCACAGGUGGGAGUGCUGGACUGGCCUGGAGCCAGCUUUCUCCUCGGCCCACAUGUGCAGGCCUGUGCUAAUGUGCAUGGGGCUUCCAGGGACUCAGCAUCCUCACCUCAGGGCCUCAUUGGAGCUGGCAUUAACACUGCCCUGUAAUAAGCACCUGGUGAAAAUUUAAUUAAGAUCAGUGCCUUGACCUCCCACCUGGCGAUUCUCAUUUAAAUUGUCAGGAGUGGGGUUUGGGCUUCAGUAGAUUUCAAAAGCUCCCCAGGGAUUCUAACAUGCAGCUAGACGUGACAAGGACCAUUCCUCUACGAUGAUCUCAGGUUCAGGAUAGAAAUGCCCAGAAUGUGUGGCUGCUUCAUUAAAAACCCUGAAUAUCCAUCAGCCAUUGAGGGGAUUUGUAUGCCUCUCUCAACAGCACUCUUUGUACAACGUGGAAAAAAGUGAGAAGAUAAAAGAGGUAGAUGAAUGGAUUAGACUUCUGACCUCCCUUCUUUGAGGAGAGUUUC